GACGAACGCUGGCGGCGUGCUUAACACAUGCAAGUCGAACGGUGAACCUCUUCGGAGGGGAUCAGUGGCGAACGGGUGAGUAACACGUGGGCAACCUGCCCCCGGCUCUGGGAUAACUCCAAGAAAUUGGGGCUAAUACCGGAUGUUCACCGCUUCCCGCAUGGGUGGUGGUGGAAAGGGUUUCCGGCUGGGGAUGGGCCCGCGGCCUAUCAGCUUGGUGGUGGGGUAGUGGCCUACCAAGGCGGCGACGGGUAGCCGGCCUGAGAGGGUGACCGGCCACACUGGGACUGAGACACGGACCAGACUCCUACGGGAGGCAGCAGUGGAGAAUAUUGCGCAAUGGGCGGAAGCCUGACGCAGCGACGCCGCGUGGGGGAUGACGGCCUUCGGGUUGUAAACCUCUUUCAGCAGGGACGAAGCGCAAGUGACGGUACCUGCAGAAGAAGCACCGGCCAACUACGUG
rnacentral:rRNA from 1 species